CAUUCUUCCAGACACUUCAGGUUUGCAACCUUCCAGUCAUCCUUCUGGGCCUCAUUUCCCACCCUCCCCCAAAUAGGAACACUGUGUGAUUUCAUAGAUGAAAGGAGUUCCAUUACAGGAAUAACCUCUCCAGUGAGCAUUGGAAUAAUGCUCUGACCCUACACAAUAAAGAAAAAUGAGAUCAAAAAAGAUCAUGCAACACAGGAAGAUCUUGGUAAUGAAACUACUAACAAGGAAAGCAAGGGAUAAAUGAGAUUAUCUUGGAAUGCAAAACCCAAUACUUUCAUUUCGUAGAAAUGCUUGAUAACAAAAAACAGUGAAAUAAAACAAGCCUCCCAUUCAAUGUUUUGAUUUAAAAUCAAAGAUGAUUUAAAUUUUUCCAGAAAGUCUUUUUCCAAUCACUGAAUUGGUCACACACUGCCAACAAUGACUUAUCACGGCUGAAUGUCAUUAAACCCUGGUUUAAAAUGAA